AACAAAAGCAAAUAUUAUCAAGAUAUUAAAAAACAGAAUAAUGAUAUAUUAACUCAUACGAUCAACAAAUCGACCUCAAACGAAUCUGAAGUUGAUUGUAAGGAAGCUUCGAAACACAAGCGUCAGAACUGCGGACAAGAUCUCCACUGGAAUGCCUCGCUGGAAACCUCAAGCGAGAAAUUGUAAUGCACAACCUUAAAGAUGAGAUAGGAGUACUGUGGGACUUGGGAAUAUUUUCAAACUUUAAGGAAGGGAGUUCACUUUAAACAAAUUCAUAUUAAGUCUGCCGCUGCUAGGUUAGGAAUUAAGUUGUAAUGGUUGAAGCUUCUUUCUCUAAUGAAAAUGACAAUGGAGAGCUCUGUUUUUUGGGAAGUGC
rnacentral:lncRNA from 1 species